rnacentral:rRNA from 1 species
AAUCAACGCUGGCGGCGUGCCUAACACAUGCAAGUCGAACGCGAAAGCCCCGCAAGGGGUAAGUAGAGUGGCAAACGGGUGAGUAACACGUGGGUGACCUGCCUUCGAGUGGGGGAUAACGUCCCGAAAGGGACGCUAAUACCGCAUGACAUCCUGCUUUUGAAAAAGCGGAGAUCAAAGCAGGGGAUCGCAAGACCUAGCGCUUGAAGAGGGGCCCGCGCCUGAUUAGCUAGUUGGUGGGGUCACGGCUCACCAAGGAGACGAUCAGUAUCCGGCCUGGGAGGGCGGACGGACACCCUGGGACUGAGACACGGCCCAGACUCCUACGGGAGGCAGCAGUGGGGAAUUGUUCGCAAUGGGCGCAAGCCUGACGACGCAACGCCGCGUGGAGGACGAAGAUCUUCGGGUCGUAAACUCCUGUCGAGCGGGACGAACGCUUCGCGGAUGAAUAAUCCGCGGAAUUGACGGUACCGCUAAAGGAAGCCCCGGCUAACUCCGUG